rnacentral:rRNA from 1 species
AAUGGACGCAAGUCUGAACCAGCCAUGCCGCGUGCAGGAAGACGGCCCUACGGGUUGUAAACUGCUUUUGUACGGGAAAAAACCCCCGGUCGUGCACCGGGGCUGAUGGUACCGUAAGAAUAAGCAUCGGCUAACUCCGUGCCAGCAGCCGCGGUAAUACGGAGGAUGCAAGCGUUAUCCGGAUUCAUUGGGUUUAAAGGGUGCGCAGGCGGAAUGAUAAGUCAGUGGUGAAAUCCUACGGCUCAACUGUAGAACUGCCAUUGAUACUGUCGUUCUUGAGUAUACUUGAAGUGGGCGGAAUGUGUCAUGUAGCGGUGAAAUGCUUAGAUAUGACAAGGAACACCGAUCGCGAAGGCAGCUCACUAAAGUAAAACUGACGCUCAGGCACGAAAGCGUGGGGAUCAAA